rnacentral:rRNA from 1 species
CCUACGGGAGGCAGCAGUAGGGAAUAUUGGACAAUGGGCGCAAGCCUGAUCCAGCCAUCCCGCGUGCAGGAUGAAAGUCCUAUGGAUUGUAAACUGCUUUUAUCAGGGAAGAAACCUUGGGAUUCAUCCCAAGUUGACGGUACCUGAGGAAUAAGCACCGGCUAACUCCGUGCCAGCAGCCGCGGUAAUACGGAGGGUGCAAGCGUUAUCCGGAUUUACUGGGUUUAAAGGGUGCGUAGGUGGUCUUGUAAGUCAGCGGUGAAAGCUCGGAGCUCAACUCCGAAAUUGCCAUUGAUACUGCAAGGCUUGAGUACAGUUGAGGUAGGCGGAAUAUGUCAUGUAGCGGUGAAAUGCUUAGAUAUGACAUAGAACACCAAUUGCGAAGGCAGCUUGCUAAACUGAAACUGACACUGAGGCACGAAAGCGUGGGGAUCAAACAGGAUUAGAUACCCUGGUAGUCCACGCCCUAAACGAUGCUAACUCGAUUUUGGCGAUAUACAGUCAGAGUACCGAACGGGAAACCGGAACGUAAGUUAAGUACCGACCCGUACGGGGUAGGUACGGUCCCGGCCGAACGGAGUAGAACGUACGAAAGGAAAGUUAGUACGGACGUAGAGACGUUGCCGACGGACGACGACGAGGGGAGGAGGG